rnacentral:rRNA from 1 species
UUUUAUUUGAGAGUUUGAUCCUGGCUCAGGAUGAACGCUGGCGGCGUGCCUAACACAUGCAAGUUGAGCGAUUUACUUCGGUAAAGAGCGGCGGACGGGUGAGUAACGCGUGGGUAACCUACCCUGUACACACGGAUAACAUACCGAAAGGUAUGCUAAUACGGGAUAAUAUAUUUGAGAGGCAUCUCUUGAAUAUCAAAGGUGAGCCAGUACAGGAUGGACCCGCGUCUGAUUAGCUAGUUGGUAAGGUAACGGCUUACCAAGGCGACGAUCAGUAGCCGACCUGAGAGGGUGAUCGGCCACAUUGGAACUGAGACACGGUCCAAACUCCUACGGGAGGCAGCAGGGGGGAAUAUUGCACAAUGGGCGAAAGCCUGAUGCAGCAACGCCGCGUGAGGGAUGAAGGCCUUCGGGUCGUAAAACUCUGUCCUCAAGGAAGAUAAUGACGGUACUUGAGGAGGAAGCCCCGGCUAACUACGUGCCAGCAGCCGCGGUAAUACGUAGGGGGCUAGCGUUAUCCGGAUUUACUGGGCGUAAAGGGUGCGUAGGCGGUCUUUCAAGUCAGGAGUGAAAGGCUACG